rnacentral:rRNA from 1 species
CCUGAUGCAGCAACGCCGCGUGAGGGAUGACGGCCUUCGGGUUGUAAACCUCUUUUAGCAGGGAAGAAGCGUGAGUGACGGUACCUGCAGAAAAAGCGCCGGCUAACUACGUGCCAGCAGCCGCGGUAAUACGUAGGGCGCAAGCGUUAUCCGGAAUUAUUGGGCGUAAAGAGCUCGUAGGCGGUUUGUCGCGUCUGCUGUGAAAUCCCGAGGCUCAACCUCGGGCCUGCAGUGGGUACGGGCAGACUAGAGUGCGGUAGGGGAGAUUGGAAUUCCUGGUGUAGCGGUGGAAUGCGCAGAUAUCAGGAGGAACACCGAUGGCGAAGGCAGAUCUCUGGGCCGUAACUGACGCUGAGGAGCGAAAGGGUGGGGAGCAAACAGGCUUAGAUACCCUGGUAGUCCACCCCGUAAACGUUGGGAACUAGUUGUGGGGUCCAUUCCACGGAUUCCGUGACGCAGCUAACGCAUUAAGUUCCCCGCCUGGGGAGUACGGCCGCAAGGCUAAAACUCAAAGGAAUUGACGGGGACCCGCACAAGCGGCGGAGCAUGCGGAUUAAUUCGAUGCAACGCGAAGAACCUUACCAAGGCUUGACAUAUACGAGAACGGGCCAGAAAUGGUCAACUCUUUGG